UCGGUUUCGGCUGAGUCGUGGCUUCAGUCUAGGAGCCCCGUCGCACUCCUUUCGACUUGGCAAGCCUGGAAUGGACGUUUUCUGCUGCGAGAACCAUUUGAAAGUUUUUGAGCAAAUACGCUAAGUGGACCAUUCACUGUCUAAAAAAUGGAAUGUGGUUAUAAACUGUGGGUUAUUGUGGAAUUCCUCGGCGAGGAGAAGAUAAGCGCUGUGCCAAAGCCAUGGUUAAAUGAAAAUGAAAGUGAAUGUAAGUGGCCAACAACCAUGCCAGACCAGAAGCGGGAUGAUAUGAUCCAAAGAUACACACAACCAGGCCGAUGGAAAAGUUUUGCAGUUCGUGUCAUUGGACGCGCCACUUCCUACGCAGCAGCGUUGAAGACAAUGGAAAAAUCAUUGUACACAUCCUCUGUGGAAUCUCAGUCGGAC